UACGUAGGGGGCAAGCGUUGUCCGGAAUCAUUGGGCGUAAAGCGCGUGUAGGCGGCCAGGUAGGUCUGGUGUGAAAACUCGAGGCUUAACCUCGAGAUGUCAUCGGAAACCAUCUGGCUAGAGUCCGGAAGAGGAGAGUGGAAUUCCUGGUGUAGCGGUGAAAUGCGCAGAUAUCAGGAAGAACACCAAUGGCGAAAGCAGCUCUCUGGGACGGUACUGACGCUGAGACGCGAAAGCGUGGGGAGCGAACAGG
rnacentral:rRNA from 1 species